rnacentral:rRNA from 1 species
GUGAGGAAUAUUGGUCAAUGGACGAGAGUCUGAACCAGCCAAGUCGCGUGAAGGAAGACGGUUCUAUGAAUUGUAAACUUCUUUUGUGCAGGAAUAAAGUGGGUUACGUGUAACCUUUUGUAUGUACUGUACGAAUAAGGAUCGGCUAACUCCGUGCCAGCAGCCGCGGUAAUACGGAGGAUCCGAGCGUUAUCCGGAUUUAUUGGGUUUAAAGGGUGCGUAGGUGGAUUGAUAAGUCAGCGGUGAAAGUUUGCAGCUUAACUGUAAAAUUGCCGUUGAAACUGUCGGUCUUGAGUGCAAAUGAGGUAGGCGGAAUGUGUUGUGUAGCGGUGAAAUGCUUAGAUAUAACACAGAACUCCGAUUGCGAAGGCAGCUUACUGGGAUGCAACUGACACUGAUGCACGAAAGCGUGGGUAUCAAACAGGAUUAGAAACCCGAGUAGUCC